rnacentral:rRNA from 1 species
CCUACGGGAGGCAGCAGUAGGGAAUCUUCCACAAUGGGCGAAAGCCUGAUGGAGCAACGCCGCGUGGGUGAAGAAGGUCUUCGGAUCGUAAAACCCUGUUGUUAGAGAAGAAAGUGCGUGAGAGUAACUCUUCACGUUUCGACGGUAUCUAACCAGAAAGGCACGGCUAACUGCGUGCCCGCCGCCGCGGUAAUACGUAGGUGGAAAGCGUUCGCCGGAUUUAUUGGGCGUAAAUGGAACGCAGGUGGUCUUUUAAGUCUGAUGUGAAAGCCGUCGGCUUAACCGGAGUAGUGCAUUGGAAGUUGGGGGACGUGAGUGCAGAAGAGGAGAGUGGAACUCCAGGUGUAGCGGUGAAAUGCGUAGAUAUAUGGAAGAACACCAGUGGCGAAAGCGGCUCUCUGGUCUGUAACUGACGCUGAGGUUCGAAAGCGUGGGUAGCAAACAGGAUUAGAUACCCGUGUAGUC